UACAGAGGUCUCAAGCGUUUGUUCGGAUUCAUUGGGCGUAAAGGGUGCGUAGGCGGCGCGGUAAGUCGGGUGUGAAAUCUUGGAGCUUAACUCCGAAACUGCAUUCGAUACUGCCGUGCUUGAGGACUGGGAGAGGAGACGUGGAAUUUACGGUGUAGCGGUGAAAUGCGUAGAUAUCGUAAGGAAGACCAGUGGCGAAGGCGGGU
rnacentral:rRNA from 1 species